UCUCCAUCAAAUCCCACUAAUAUCUUGCAACAGAAACGCAAGCGUUUAUUUCUCUCUCUCUGGAUAACCGACGCACUUGCUCCUUCAAGCGGUGGAGCUGCUCCGUUCCCAUCAUCUCCACUCUCCACUACUCAUGCCCACGCCCCUGCUCGAGAGGCGCUACCAGCGGCGAGUCUCCCUGCUGCCUCCGCAUCACUUGCUCCACGGCCCGAGCGUUGAGUGUUGGACGGCUCAGGGCCACGGUCGUUGCCUCAACUACCAAUCCAAAUCACCUCCACCCAGGUACCUGCAUGAUGUUCUUCUUCACGGGCCUCUCCAAGGAACCAAAGGGUGAAGAAGCAUGGACAGCAGUCCUUGGUGUCCUCACCUUUACUGAUAGAUCGAAUAAUGUAUCUGGACUGCCAGGUGAGUUCUCAUAUGCGUGUAUUCUUUAGCAGACAAAUAUGUCCAGUACAUAUGAGUAUAUCCUGAAGAUGCAGAUCUAUUUCCCUUCCAAUUUUCUACUCUGAAUGGUUAAACAUUCGGAUGAUUAUAUUGUGAGGUAUAAUUACGUAAGGACUUUCUGUAGUUGUGAUUCGUUUUUUAAAAUGUCAAGUCUCAUUAAUUAGCUUCAACUAUGAAGCCCACUAUGUUGUCAGAGAAUUUACUUUACAUACUUUUGUUAAGACGGUUUCCUGUUUUGUAAGAUUUGAUGGAACACUUCUUCAGAUUGACUUGCAACGGUAGAAGGGAGAUGGAUUUAGAUGUUCUGUCCUGCGCAUGUUAGCUGCACCCUCAGGGUCGUAGUAGUAGUGUCUUUGUUCACUGUGUUUUAGUAAUGUGACUUGCAAAUUCCUAGCAAUCUCCUUUUUAUUGUGGGAUUCACAUUUGGAUAUUAUUCAAGCUAAUAGACUGAUAUUGCAUUUGUUCCGAUGGUGUCUUAGUCACUUCAUGCAAAUAUUUUUGCAGGUAGAUGUGUGGUGAGUGUCACUACUAAAUUCUUCUAGCUAUAGUUUCACUUCAUAUUGUAAGUGAAAGUGCACAUAAUUUAUCACUUUGUGUUCUAUUUGUUUCCCAACUUGCACGUUAUAUUUGUCCUUAACAGAUCUUUUUUCCGUGCUAAUUCCACUAAAGUGUUGUAUUUUUCUUCCUGUAUUCAUGUUAAUUAUCUUCGUAGAAAGAAGCAUACUGGCCAUGUCCUUCAUUAUUGAUUAAGAUGUUGUACUAUAUUUUUUGAACCAGUGAUACUAUUAUGUACGGAUUUGGUUCACAUAUAAUUCAAGGAAAAAAAUAGAGAACAAAUAACUUUCGUGAAUCCUU